UCCCAAGAACCGCCCCGCCAGCCAUGCCGCACGCCGGCUCCGGCCCUCUUCCGGCCGCGCCCUCCUCCCCUGCUCUCCUCGGCCUUGCGCCGCCGUGCAGCCUCCGUCCACCCCCUCCCAGGCUCCCUCCGCCGGCGGUGCUACUCGAGCUCGAGAGCAGCUGCAGCGACGGCCGGCUCCUGGCAGCGGAGGCUUCCGGCUGCCCGCUGCCUGCCUGCGGCUCUCUCUCCUACCACCAAUGCAUUUCUUGGAGACCUGCUACUGACCUUAUUUCUCUCCCCCUCACCCUCACAACCGCACAGGUGAACCGCACAAGGGAUACAUUGCUGUGCCAAUAGUCUGUUCGUCUUCGUCAGUCAUAAUCAGGUUGGCCCUUGCUCUACUUCGUCCUCAAUUUUUUUUCCACAGUGGCCGCUUCUUUUUCUUGAUCUCUAUAUCUACUUUACUUCUUCCCCUGCGCCUCUUUUCAAGCCAGGUUUAGCUUAUCCCUAUGUUGGAUCCGGCUUCUAUCGAUGCUCCUUUUGGUAUGCAGUGUUGGAUCGAUGUGGUGCUGAUCUUGUUCGCCCGUCCCCGGUGUGCAGUUCAUACGGUUUUUCAUCUGUCUGCUGCCAGGUUUGCAGUCCUCGUUCAGAAACUUCAUCAGUUUGCAUCCCGGCCCUAUCCUUCAGCUGAGACAUCUCCUAGGCCUCCAUUCAGUGAAAUUGCUUGGAAAAAAGUGCUUUCACUUUUACUCCUUCAGAUCUUAAAUUCUGAAUACCAAUGUGAUGAAAUGCUGGUUUGAUUUCUAUAUGGACAAAUAGAUUUGUUAAAUUUAGGUUUUAUUGACUAAAUCAAACAAUUGAAUAAUAGGAAGAUGUAGAAACUGAAAGGAUUAGGACACUUUUGCAGGGCCAGAUCACACUUAUACAUCAUUUGGAAAUGACUUUCUUGUUUCCAUAUCUUUCUUGAUCGUGGAUAAGAAAUUUUCAUGACUGUCUACAUUGCUUGGGAACAAGAGGGUGGUUGUUUUCCAUCGCGCAUGACUCUAAAUUUUUGUGCUGGAUACUAUAUUCUAACGUCAGGCAAUGGUAGAGAUCGAUUGUUUGGGCAGGUAUGCCAUUCUGUGAUCGAGUCAGGUGGUUGCUAAAGGUUAUUACAUGGAAAGUAUGUCAACACUUUUCUUCUGGCCAUACACGAAGAACCAAUGUAGAGUUCUCUUAGUGAUGAUUUGAGAAGUCUCUGAGUCACAGGAAAUUAUUAUGUUAUGAUGAAUGUGCCAUGAGGGUCAUUUACCAAGUGUGCAGAUCAAAUUGGGGUUGACUGGUAGACAUCUGGCAUUGCACACAAAUGAAUUCACCUUAAUGAGCUGGUUAUUACCAUUAUUGAUAAAUUUUAAUACCAUCUUUAGUUCCUUCCUCUGCAGGUUGUCACCCAGGGGAACUGCACCUAGCAUUACCUGCCAACAUCCAUCACAUAUACCAUUGUGGAGUUGGUCGAGUCCUCGGCCUGCAAUAAUGGGUUUGCUAUCCCAGCCAUCCUCAUGGUCAUUCAGGCUCAUGGUGGCUCUGCAGCGAGCUAAGAACAGGAGGUCCGAAGAGGAGGUAAUUUUGUAGAUGCAGCUGACUGUCCAUCCUACUAUUCUCCAUCGCGGCGAGCUCUUGCUCUUGUGCUACACGGUCGUUUACAAGGCCGGCAUGGGAAGCAAGGGCACCCGUCAGCAACUCCGUCACCUACGCCAUUAAUUCGGUGAUGCUGGCGAUGUACCCUGUAUGUGAGGUUGUCCAACAUGUGCAAGGAAAUAUGGAAUGGCUUCUCCAAGGAAAUAUGCUGGUUCACUGGAUUGCCUUGCCAUCUCCAAUGAUAAUUUGGUGUGGAUUAUUGGAAUACUUAAAUUUCAAUAA